rnacentral:rRNA from 1 species
GAUGAACGCUGGCGGCGUGCCUAAUACAUGCAAGUCGAGCGAACAGACGAGGAGCUUGCUCCUCUGACGUUAGCGGCGGACGGGUGAGUAACACGUGGAUAACCUACCUAUAAGACUGGGAUAACUUCGGGAAACCGGAGCUAAUACCGGAUAAUAUAUUUAACCGCAUGGUUCAAUAUUGAAAGACGGUUUUGCUGUCACUUAUAGAUGUAUCCGCGCCGCAUUAGCUAGUUGGUAAGGUAACGGCUUACCAAGGCAACGAUGCGUAGCCGACCUGAGAGGGUGAUCGGCAACACUGGAACUGAGACACGGUCAAGACUCCUACGGGAGGCAGCAGUAGGGAAUCUUCCGCAAUGGGCGAAAGCCUGACGGAGAAACGCCGCGUGAGUGAGGAAGGUCUUCGGAUCGUAAAACUCUGUUAUUAGGGAAGAACAAAUGUGUAAGUAACUAUGCACGUCUUGACGGUACCUAAUCAGAAAGCCACGGCUAACUACGUG